AAAAUUGGCGUCGGAGUCUAUUAAACAAUCGCAGCCAGAUAGCAAGUUGCACGCUUGGAUGCUGACUGCACACCAGAUGUUGAAGAAGAAUUUGUUUAUUUUGAUACGGCACGGAGGAGCCGAAACAUGAUUGAAAUUGCAGAAAGCCAACAUCAGAAGUCAAGACUUACAUGCUAUCAUCACAAUCAGGUGAAAACAAAAUUGCCAAGUGCCACACGGACGGGAGGUAUGAUUCUAUUUGCAAACUCAAGAAGAGAUCAAGAAUCACAGCAUCAGUUAUCUAAGCUGAAUUCUCAUGUACUCAUGUGGCAGCAAUACUUGCGGCAAUUUUCACAGGAUUAGUUAAUCAGCAUAAUUCAUUAGUACAUUUUGCAGAUAUUAAUCUCAACACUGUAGCAUACAGACAAGGUGCGCUAUCUUCUACAAAAGUACUUAGCUACACAACGUUUACAUCAGCAAAAUUUGGACACAAUCGCUUGUGUUAUAUACACAUCACUGACUCAAAAUAAGCCUCAAA